rnacentral:rRNA from 1 species
AGCGAACGCUGGCGGCAGGCCUAACACAUGCAAGUCGAACGAAGUCUUCGGACUUAGUGGCGGACGGGUGAGUAACACGUGGGAACGUGCGUUUAGGUUCGGAAUAACUCAGGGAAACUUGUGCUAAUACCGAAUGUGCCCUUCGGGGGAAAGAUUUAUCGCCUUUAGAGCGGCCCGCGUCUGAUUAGCUAGUUGGUGAGGUAAAGGCUCACCAAGGCGACGAUCAGUAGCUGGUCUGAGAGGAUGAUCAGCCACAUUGGGACUGAGACACGGCCCAAACUCCUACGGGAGGCAGCAGUGGGGAAUCUUGCGCAAUGGGCGAAAGCCUGACGCAGCCAUGCCGCGUGAAUGAUGAAGGUCUUAGGAUUGUAAAAUUCUUUCACCGGGGACGAUAAUGACGGUACCCGGAGAAGAAGCCCCGGCUAACUUCGUGCCAGCCGCCGCGGUAACAC